UUUAUAUUGAAAUUAUUAGUCUGCGGUCUAUAUUUUACGUGGCAUUUUAUGCUUCAUUGUGUCUGAAAAGGCGGAUGGACCGUUAUUAAACUUAAACACUGACUGAAAUUAUUAUUCUUUAGCUUGGUUUCUAAAAGGAAAGUCAUGGAAAUUGUAAUUUUCUCUUGCGUUUAUUUUCAUCUCUUUGCGGCUGUAUGUGGGCUAGCAAUCAGCUUCGUAACAUACGAGUUAUACUCAGAAAAUGAAAUAAACGGAAAUACAAUUUUUAGUUUUGAUACAAGCUCUGCCAUGGCUUGUGUUGCCCUCUGUGAUAGGACAUUUGGGUGUCUUUCGGUAAAUUUCCAUGAAGACAAUGCAAAGUGCUUGCUAACUGAUUAUUAUCCUACCGAUAAUACAAGAUCGAGCGAAACUAGUGUCGGCUGGAAAAUAUACUUCCGGAGAAACUUUGAUAUAGACCUUUUAGAGGGAGCUUCAGCCUGGCAGUCCUCUACUUGGGUCUAUUUGGGCAUUCCGCAAUCCGCUGACCUUGCUAUUGAUGGUAACAGCUAGCUAGUGUUUGUGAUUCCGGUACCGAGUACUCGACUGCCCACACCGAUAGUGGUUUCUCUUACUGGGCAGUGGAAUUUGGUACACCCGGUCCUGUGAAGGGGGUCGAAAUCUACUUUCGGACAUUCUGUUGCUUCUAUUCCCGCAACACCAAUUUCACCGUCACUGUAUCGAAGAGCCGUGAUGACGUCACUAAUGACGUUGGAGUACCCUGCGGUACAUAUUACGGACCGGCAAUUGAUAAAGCACCCUUCCGCCUUACAAUCGAAUGUGAGAGCACAAUUUACGGCAAGUUCUUGACAAUCAAACACGAGAUGGCGGAUGUAAUGAUGUUGUGUGAAGUCAUUGUUCAAACACCGUAGUGACUUUGAGGGGCAUGCCUCCAGAUGAAUAUCAAAAUUUAUAAUUUCUAAGCAGUUAGUAACCAAAAUCAGAUAUAAAACCAAUAGAUCGAUCUAAUCAAUAUCACUGAAGUUGAUACGAAUAUAAUUCAAAGUAUACAAAUCAUAUUUUUAUUGUUUUCUGUAUGUCUGACAGACGAUACCAAUGUUUCUAUAAAUAAGUUACUAACUAGACCUUUUUAUAUUCAUCACGCUUUAGUAAUCGUGUAAUGCUUGCCAACUAGAAAAUCAUGGUAAUUCGCAUAAGGAACAGCAAAUGUAAAUGACACAGGUGAGAAAUCAAGUUUUUUAGGCCCGCAUAGAGUUAAAUGUUUUUCGACAUAGAUAUUUGUAAGUUAGAAGAAUUUAUUCCACCAUCAAUUUAAGAUGAAAGUAACACACAACCAAAGUGUUAUGGUAAUAUAAAGCUUUAAUAACAGAAACUGAUUAUCCACUGCGUUAAUCUUACCAUUGUUUUCAUGCAAAAGUGUGUAUUAGCCUAAUAUUGAUUUAUGCAUGUGAAAUUGUCAUGCAGGGCCUUAAAUUUGUGCACUGGUUUUUUCCAUGUCAGUCUUCAGUACAUCCAUUAGCAUAAUGAGAAAAGCAUGCACAAUAAGUAGGCAUAAUUUGAAUAGUCUGGAUAUGUAGCUUUAAAUGAAAGCCUUCAUAAAUCUCGAAACAAAUUGACAUCUAUUUGGAGGCGUGAUGCUUUAAAUUUUAAUGACUUAAUAUUCUUGAAUAUUUAUGUCUAUUUUGGCACUAAAUCAUUUUCACAAGUUCAUUUUCUGGUGUAAUAAUAGCAACUGUAAUGAUGUCUUAAAGACCCGCCACAGAAUAACUGUAUUCUUUUGUGUUUCCAUGAUGGUAAUUAUACAUUAUUUGCAUAAAAAAAGAGAAAUAGACAACAUGUUUAUACUAUCGUUUGAUUGUUAUGGUUCUCAUGCAUCGUUGAACUCAAAAAGGUUGUCAAUGAUAGAAGUUAAGUACAUACUGUAAUGUUAUACAAAAAUAUUUUCUGUAUUGAAACGUUUUAACGAAGAAAAAUCAUAAUUAUCAAACAUGUUAACGUUUAAGUUAUCGUGCGGGAUUUAUA